UACGUAGGGGGCUAGCGUUGUCCGGAUUUAUUGGGCGUAAAGAGCGUGUAGGCGGCCAGGUAGGUCUGGUGUGAAAACUCGAGGCUUAACCUCGAGAUGUCAUCGGAAACCAUCUGGCUAGAGUCCGGAAGAGGAGAGUGGAAUUCCUGGUGUAGCGGUGAAAUGCGCAGAUAUCAGGAAGAACACCAAUGGCGAAAGCAGCUCUCUGGGACGGUACUGACGCUGAGACGCGAAAGCUAGGGGAGCAAACAGG
rnacentral:rRNA from 1 species